CAGGUUUUCGACUUUCAGAUUACAAAAAGUGAAUGCAGUACAUAGAAAUGAGCUUCAAGAUGACCUAACAAAUCUUUUCAUGUGAGUUUUUUUCACGGGCAUAAGAAGCGUAUUGUUAAAUGUUAGGCUUUUUUUCUGGAAGAAAGACCAUUGCAUGCAUUCGCCUCUCUUACUUACACUUACCUUUCAUCAUUACCACCCCAUCACAACCAAAGUUGAGACUACAUUAGAUUUGAACAGGUAAGCAAUACUCUUUUCGACUUAUGCUUGUUCAUAGGUAGAAGUAAAACCCAAACCUGUGAAUCUUAAGUCCAAAAAAAGUUAUGCAAUAUGUGGAGUUUGGUGACUCACUCCUAAGAGACCAUAAACAUGGAAUCAAGUGAUUAGCAGUUCAAAUCCUGCUCUGGGUGUGUUUUUGCAUGUCUUUACUGUGAAGCUCGAAAUAUCAGAUAUAAAUAAAGAGACGACUGUUUCUGAUCUAAAUAAGCUGCAAGGUGGACUUAUUACAUCGCCUAAGCUCAAGACCUCAUGCGCCAAACACUGACUUCAGCAUGCUGCCUCGUUAAACACACCUGAUUCAGUUCAUCAGCUAAUUAGCAAGGCCUUCAUGAGCUGAAUGCACAGCUUUAGAUGGGGAUGUACACUAAUCUCUACAGCACUUUGGCCUGGACAAGGUUUGCCUGCUUUACAUUAAUGAGAGCAGCUUAUCUGAGUUUUAUGGCUGUCUUCCUGAUACAAAUUUCUCUUUAGUGUGGGAAAGUGUGGAAACCAUAGUCAGGUUGGAGGCAAGUAGCACAUAUCUGUAUUAUUGAGAUUGUCUCUUAUAGUAACUAAAUGAGGUAAACAUUCUAAACCCACUUGUGUUGUGUUCAGAUCAAAAAGACAGUCCUCGCUUCCUUGAGAGUUCCUGGUCUAAUAAACAUCAGUAGAAACAACCUGGGAAUCUCAAAGUCAAAUGUCCAAAAAAAAAGGCCUUUCAUGCAGCAGCCACGGUGGCGUCUUUGAAAAAGCUAUGGCUUUGCACACAGAAGGUCGGCGGUUCAAAUCCUGGUUGCGGUUGCCAGUUGAAGUCACCUUCCACGGAGAUCCUGCAGGGAGCCUGGAGGUGCACUGGCACCGGAGGACGGCCGGAGGGCAGUACCUGAGAAGGGGGGGAAAUAAUCCGGGCUCCCCCCCGGGGCCUCCAGGAAGCAGAAAACAAGGGGUUAUAGAGCAAGACGUGAGAAUUUGACCUUUUCGACUUAGUUCCUAAAUAUACAGCUGUCGUGUAUAAAACCUAUCACCCUCAUUUUGAGCGGCUUCUCGAAGGAAGACCGCUGCUCUUCUUCUGUCACUCUCCCUGCCAUCUCUCUCUUUCUCCUCCUC
ensembl:lncRNA